UUCUCUCUCCCUCUCUCUCUCUCCCUCUCUCUCUUUCUCUUUCUCUCUCUGUAGGGUGGCGGCGGGUGGACACGCGUGCUUUUCUUUCUGGUCCAUGAACUUCAACCUUACAAACUUUUGCUCGGUUUAGAGUUUACACUGUUCCUUCGGUUCACACUGCUGAUUAUUGUUUUCGGUAACGUGAUUUUAAAAAGACAUGAUAAAGAAGCGGAAUCAGCGCUCGGAGCUCCGGGACCGUGUACCAGGAAGCGCACGGAGGAGAUUCGGAGCGCCGGUGUCCUUCUAUCAACUGUCCGGGAGAAACUGAGGCUCUGAGGAGCGUGUGGUGUGCAGCUGGUGGAGGCACUGUGAUGGGGGCCAUGCUGUGGUGGAGAGGGUUCCUGGCAUCGUGAUUUGGUGGACAAACAGAAGUGAAAAAUCACAUUGCCAGGGAUUUCCACUCCUGCACGGCUCAGCGUGGUGCUUAACAUCUGUCCUAACUGGACACUGGUGAACGUUCCAGCUGAGAUCACUUCACCUUGUAAAAAAAAAAAAAAACCAUGGAAAGGAGUCAGUGGGUUCAUGUUGCUUCAAAAUACAACUCCAACAUGCCUAUGAUGCAGUGCAGGUUUUCGCAUGUCAUGGUGGUGCUUUUAAUUCAAAAGGGUUCUGUCAAUUAUAUUUACACUCAUGCAUUUGAAACUAUUACAUGGUGUGAGGUAUAUGGGAAACUCAUUUUCUCUUGCAUGUUAUCAUGGUAGUCUAGCAAGCCAACAUCUGAUGACAAGCUAAAACUUAUUUCUUGGGUACUAGAAUCCUCCAAUCAGCUGCUUUUUUGCCUCGCACCACCUCGUCACUUGCUCUAGGCGCAGAGCUUAGCUAAUUGGUGAGCACUGAUCCAUGAAAUAAACUGUUCACAGUGGCUAAGUUCAGCGUCUGCAGUGAGAAAGCUAACAGGAUGUUGCAAAGCUCUUCUGGAUUUCUACCAGUCACUGUGGUGAUGCCUAACAGAGCCUAACAGAUGGAAUAAUGAAAGAAAGUAAUGGUUUGGUCUGCCAGGUAGGCAUAGAGGUGUUUGUUCUAAAUGUCAAUCCAGUUACGGCACAGCGGUUUUCAGUUAACACUCCCUCGAAAGCCAUUUUGGCUCUAAAUAAUAGCGUUGAUUUACAUCUUUAUCCUGGCCUCAUAUCUGGAGUAGGAGUCGAGUCAGACCACUAUUAAAGUGCAGGUUAAUGUCAAAUUUGGUAGCUCGCAUUUCAGUUCAGCUCCUCAAAACACACCUGAUUUUUCAUUUGUAUAUUUCAUGUGUAGCUGUUAUUGUCUGGAAGAAGGAGACCUUUUCUUUUGAUGAGAAGGAUAAAAAGCAACAGAAAUUAAAUGUAGACAUUUUUAUUUGGAAAUUUCAGUUCAGGAUUUGCUUUGCUUCUUUAGUUUUUCAGCUUCGAAGCUGUCAAUACAGAAAUGUAUUCGUAAAUUGAUUUGGUUUGCAGACUUUGAUUGGUUGAACUGAAGUCUCCUAACUGUUAAUGAUUUUAUAUACAUUACACUUAUUUUCAUUUCAAGUGCACGUCAGUUUAUUAAGCAUUUAUGAAAAACUCAGUCGUAUUAAAGACUUGCCGAAAUUAGAAAACUACAACAAGAUGUUCGAUUAGGAGAAAAUUAAUGAGGAGUAAUGAAAUGUAGAAGUGAUAUAUGUCUACAGUAGCUGACAUGCAGCAAUGGCUAAGCUGCAUUACUGGAGCACAUUGCAUGAUUUUGUCAUCAUAAUGUCAAUUUAAACUAUACGUAAGCUUCACUUUUUAUUAUUAUGGAGAUUUUUAUGGAGAUCUAUGGAGAACUAGAUGCUUUGAAUGCAAAUAGAAUUGAUUUUGCUUUCAUAGGUGAUAUGGCUGAAUAUUUCAUUUCAUUUGCUCUGUCAGUGGUGUGGUUUUAGUGAAACAUUACUAUUGUGCUAAAGGUUGAAUUUUAUGUACUGGUGCUGUUUUACUAUAUAUCAGCUGUCUUGGAAUGACCGAAUGGUGGACCAGAAUGAAUUGUUGUAUAAUUAUGUGCACAAACAUGACCUGGUUUAUUAAAAUACAAUAAAACUUUACAUUGCCA